UACGUAGGGGGGCUAGCGUUGUCCGGAAUUAUUGGGCGUAAAGAGCUCGUAGGCGGUUUGUUGCGUCUAUCGUGAAAACCUGCAGCUUAACUGUGGGCUUGCGGUGGAUACGGGCAGACUUGAGUUCGGUAGGGGAGACUGGAAUUCCUGGUGUAGCGGUGAAAUGCGCAGAUAUCAGGAGGAACACCGGUGGCGAAGGCGGGUCUCUGGGCCGAUACUGACGCUGAGGAGCGAAAGCGUGGGGAGCGAACAGG
rnacentral:rRNA from 1 species